rnacentral:rRNA from 1 species
UGGGGAAUAUUGGACAAUGGGCGCAAGCCUGAUCCAGCCAUGCCGCGUGAGUGAUGAAGGCCCUAGGGUUGUAAAGCUCUUUCACCGGUGAAGAUAAUGACGGUAACCGGAGAAGAAGCCCCGGCUAACUUCGUGCCAGCAGCCGCGGUAAUACGAAGGGGGCUAGCGUUGUUCGGAUUUACUGGGCGUAAAGCGCACGUAGGCGGACUAUUAAGUCAGGGGUGAAAUCCCGGGGCUCAACCCCGGAACUGCCUUUGAUACUGGUAGUCUUGAGUACGAGAGAGGUGAGUGGAAUUCCGAGUGUAGUGGUGAAAUUCGUAGAUAUUCGGAGGAACACCAGUGGCGAAGGCGGCUCACUGGCUCGAUACUGACGCUGAGGUGCGAAAGCGUGGGGAGCAAACAGG